AUAUUCAUUCAUUAAUUCAUUGUGUUUCAAUAGCAUCUUCUAUUGCAUCUUCAUUUGUUGAAAAGUGACAUUUUUUCUAUUUAUCAUGAGCAUUGUGGAGACAAUUUUUAUACAUUUGUAAGCAGAUUAAUACAGCGACCAUCAAACUUUAUAUAUGGAUGGGUUUUAUGCCAGAAUACUAUAUAAUUUCUUCUAACCUGAAAUCGGCAUAAGCGUUAAUAUAUAUUAAAUUUGACAAUGUUCGAAGCUUCCGCUGAAUAACGGUAAACGGCAAAAAGUUAAAAGUUUAAAUAGUUUCUCACCAAUGCAAAUUUAUAAAAAUAUUUAAACAUUUUGUGCGCAUAUAUUUUUUAAUAAGGAAAAUAUUUAAGAGCUUAAAGACCGAUUAAAUCAUUAAUUGAAUUGUGGUUACCUACAUACAUUAUAUCACGACAUGUUCUGAAAUAAAAUAAAUAUAAAGAGAUAAGCGAAUAAUAAAUGGUAAAUGUCAAAACACCACUUAUGUAGACUAUGUGGGGGGUGACAAAAGAUUCUUCGAAUAGUUUGCUCGUUUCGCUGCCGCCAUUAGCCAUGACUUUAAUUUGUUCUCACUGCAAGGAGAACAACGGGCGGUAGGACAAGCAUUUGUUUCGACGUAUUGUAGUACGGGACGUGCGUUGGUUGAAUUGUGGUGUGCAACGCAUUGGUGUUUUGCGGCUGUUACGCGGCGUGCUUGUUUGUGGUGAUUGCACUGACCGCAUACAAGAAUGCAAAUGUGUGAAUAAGUGGAAGUGCUGUGACCAUCAUUGGGCUGGUGUGUUAUUGCUUUUAUUAAAAAUGAAGAAGAACAAGCGGAGGCAGAUAUGUUGCUGUUGAGAUCCUUUGCUGUUGUAGCACAUAAAAAUGUGCUAGUGUCUUGAUAUAUUUUCGUUAUGUUGUCAACUUUAAUUUUGUAAUUUGUUUUGCUUACGCAUUUAAUACUUUUCGGAAAUUUUCGAUUUCGAUUAUAGAGCAAUAUUAAGGAUAAAUAUUAAUUAAUAAAUCAUAAAUGCACAUGAAAAUCUUUGCAGUAAUCGUGCAUUUGCGCCUGUUGCCGUUAGUCAAACCUGAUUAAAAAAUUUUCAGGCAUAUAGUGCGGAAAGGAUGGUGAUGCAUUUCGUACAAACUGGAAAUAAACUGAGCACACAAAUAACGAAAAUUCGGACGAAGAAGCUAUUCGGGCAAUUAUAAAUGGCAAAUGUGAACUGUGUGUUUGCUAAAGCCCAAUGAAAGUUCUACCAUGUAGUAACUCACACAUUUGUUGGCAUACCCUAUAAAUAUUGACAAUAUAUUGUUGGCAACAUUUCCAAUAUUUAACAAUGUGCAAACAAUAUUUUACUUAAACGACUUAUGGAGAUACAUAUGGCUUAGGGCAACAAAGAAUAGGUGUGGAAUUAAAGUAAAAAUUAAAAAUAUCAAUGUUGGUUGACAGAAAUUGCAAAGUAUCUAUUAUCCAAGUACGAGUUCAAAAGUUUCUGUAAAUAUGGUUGGUGAGAGAUCAAUUAUGGGCAGCGUGUUUAGCUGCUGUGAUCGGCUGGGUUGACAAUCGUCAAACAAACCGAAAAAAUUCGUUAAAGAAAAGUUAAAGAGUGUGGUAAAUUUCCAAUUUUAAUUUAGACCACUUAUACAUAUGGUAGAUCCUUAUAAAUCUCAAGAUUCCAGUGCAUGAAGAAAUCUUAUAUUUGUUUCUAGAAGAGCCUUUAAAAAAAAACUAUUACUACCAAGGUUAUUUUUAUUCAAUUUUUAACUUUUCGAUAAAACAGGUUACCAUUUUUGAAAACCAAAAGAUAUACACACUGAAACCACUUUUGCUGCAAAAACGCCAAAGAACUGGCCACAUUACAAUCGAAAUCAUCCGUUUUCUCACACAUUUAAUGCACAAAACCAUCUUUAUCCCUCCAUCGCAUGAGUCGUGGCUUCGCACAAAAGCUUCGAGAGAUACUCCAACUAUUUGAGGAUGAGUUAAAGCGACGGUCAAGUGAACAUGUGUACGGAAUACAUUGCAAACUUAUAUGAGUGCAUGAACUGAAAGCGGUUGAAAGAACAUUAAAAUUCGGUGCAUUCAAAAUCAGUAAAGGAGAAAAUCAGCAACAAUGAUGAACCAACGGCCACAUCAUGUCCGCACAUUAGACCAUUUGCAUUUGAAUGCAUACAAAAGUUGCACCACCAGGAACGGCUAUUUGUGUAUAUAUGCCCAUAAUAAGGGAGCAUGCGUGACCUGCGGGGCAUAUAUUAGUAUUUGUUAGUGUUAUACUAUGAAAGGGCACUGAAUAUAUAAUCCUAAAUAUUUCUUGGUUAACCCAAAUCAAAUCUCACAAAAAUAAGUUUGACCUUUCUGAGAUUUAUACAUAUUUAUAUAUUCUAAACCAUACAAUUUAUGAUGCGGCCUGGACGUAAAUAACAUAACAUCUAUAGUCACUUAAAACUUUAAACGCGUUUUUCUCGAAACUGUGUUUUCAACGUCGGUUGUCAAGAUUUCUCGCGAACUACUCAACCUUAAUGAAAUUUUACACAAGUCUUCAAGAUAUCCUUUAGAAGGUCUUGAACUUCAUUACAAUUAUCUUCUUCUGUUAAUUACAAUUAUUUAAAACAAAAAAACUAUUGAUGAUACUGUCAGAAGUUCUGCUGUCAACGCGGAAGCACCUCUUUUCCGAGGGACUGCCAGAAAUGACGUAGUAAUAACCAAGUUUUAAAUAUUUUCCUUUCACAAUAUUUUUUUUAUCAAAUAUGUAUCUUCGGAAUAAUAAAACGUUUGAAUAAAAUAUUUAAUUUUUAUAUGAAA